rfam:Hordeum vulgare subsp. vulgare, WGS project CAJW01000000 data, contig: morex_contig_40129
AAAGUACUCUCUCUGUCCUAAAAUUUUUGUCUUAGAUUUAUCUACAAAUGGAUGCAUCUAAAUAUUAAAAUGUGACUAGAUACAUUUAUAUCUACACAAAUGUAAGACAAGAAUUUUGGGACCGACGGAGUAGAUA